UACGGGGGGAGCAAGCGUUGUUCGGAUUUACUGGGCGUAAAGGGCGCGUAGGCGGCCAGCACAAGUCAGUUGUGAAAUCUCCGGGCUUAACUCGGAAAGGUCAACUGAUACUGUGCGGCUAGAGUGCAGAAGGGGCAACUGGAAUUCUCGGUGUAGCGGUGAAAUGCGCAGAUAUCAGGAGGAACACCGGUGGCGAAGGCGGUUCUCUGGGCAUGUCCUGACGCUGAGGAGCGAAAGUGUGGGGAGCGAACAGG
rnacentral:rRNA from 1 species